CUGAAUCAGUGUGUGUGUUAGUGGAAGCGUCUGGAAAGGCGCGCGAUACAGGGUGACAGCCCCGUACACAAAAAUGCACAUGCUGUGAGCUCGAUGAGUAGGGCGGGACACGUGGUAUCCUGUCUGAAUAUGGGGGGACCAUCCUCCAAGGCUAAAUACUCCUGACUGACCGAUAGUGAACCAGUACCGUGAGGGAAAGGCGAAAAGAACCCCGGCGAGGGGAGUGAAAAAGAACCUGAAACCGUGUACGUACAAGCAGUGGGAGCACGCUUCGGCGUGUGACUGCGUACCUUUUGUAUAAUGGGUCAGCGACUUAUAUUCUGUAGCAAGGUUAACCGAAUAGGGGAGCCGAAGGGAAACCGAGUCUUAACUGGGCGUUAAGUUGCAGGGUAUAGACCCGAAACCCGGUGAUCUAGCCAUGGGCAGGUUGAAGGUUGGGUAACACUAACUGGAGGACCGAACCGACUAAUGUUGAAAAAUUAGCGGAUGACUUGUGGCUGGGGGUGAAAGGCCAAUCAAACCGGGAGAUAGCUGGUUCUCCCCGAAAGCUAUUUAGGUAGCGCCUCGUGAAUUCAUCUCCGGGGGUAGAGCACUGUUUCGGCAAGGGGGUCAUCCCGACUUACCAACCCGAUGCAAACUGCGAAUACCGGAGAAUGUUAUCACGGGAGACACACGGCGGGUGCUAACGUCCGUCGUGAAGAGGGAAACAACCCAGACCGCCAGCUAAGGUCCCAAAGUCAUGGUUAAGUGGGAAACGAUGUGGGAAGGCCCAGACAGCCAGGAUGUUGGCUUAGAAGCAGCCAUCAUUUAAAGAAAGCGUAAUAGCUCACUGGUCGAGUCGGCCUGCGCGGAAGAUGUAACGGGGCUAAACCAUGCACCGAAGCUGCGGCAGCGACACUGUGUGUUGUUGGGUAGGGGAGCGUUCUGUAAGCCUGUGAAGGUGUACUGUGAGGUAUGCUGGAGGUAUCAGAAGUGCGAAUGCUGACAUAAGUAACGAUAAAGCGGGUGAAAAGCCCGCUCGCCGGAAGACCAAGGGUUCCUGUCCAACGUUAAUCGGGGCAGGGUGAGUCGACCCCUAAGGCGAGGCCGAAAGGCGUAGUCGAUGGGAAACAGGUUAAUAUUCCUGUACUUGGUGUUACUGCGAAGGGGGGACGGAGAAGGCUAUGUUGGCCGGGCGACGGUUGUCCCGGUUUAAGCGUGUAGGCUGGUUUUCCAGGCAAAUCCGGAAAAUCAAGGCUGAGGCGUGAUGACGAGGCACUACGGUGCUGAAGCAACAAAUGCCCUGCUUCCAGGAAAAGCCUCUAAGCAUCAGGUAACAUCAAAUCGUACCCCAAACCGACACAGGUGGUCAGGUAGAGAAUACCAAGGCGCUUGAGAGAACUCGGGUGAAGGAACUAGGCAAAAUGGUGCCGUAACUUCGGGAGAAGGCACGCUGAUAUGUAGGUGAAGCGACUUGCUCGUGGAGCUGAAAUCAGUCGAAGAUACCAGCUGGCUGCAACUGUUUAUUAAAAACACAGCACUGUGCAAACACGAAAGUGGACGUAUACGGUGUGACGCCUGCCCGGUGCCGGAA
rnacentral:rRNA from 1 species